UUUAAGCAGAGCAGCCAGGCACUGGAGUCUUCUCAGAAACAAGAACUGGCUGGUCAAGGAAGCUUGUGGGUGCUCUGUGGGGCUGAAUGAGGUCCACAUCUGGCCAGAUUAAGAGACAGCAGCUCAAAGCCCCGGACCCAGCUUCUGCAGCCGCGCAAGUCACACUGAGCCACACCCUUUCAGAGGGACCCACGCGAGCUGUUCCUCUCCAGGCUAUGUGGAGUUGUGGGGCUCCUCCUCUGCCCCCAAGCCAUGGUGUGGCCCACUGUCCUUGUCACUAAAUGCCACGUGAAGUCGUUGCUCCUACGAGGGCUCUGGUCAGGCCUCCCAGCCAACAGGAGUCCUACAGCCGCACGCCCAGGAAGGCAGCACCAGCCAAUCCCAGUCCCACCAAAAACCACAGACACCGGAAGCUGCCGCUCACCACGUUUUUUACAAAAUAAAGCUCUUCCCUUCCUUC